rnacentral:rRNA from 1 species
AUUGAACGCUGGCGGCAUGCCUUACACAUGCAAGUCGAACGGCAGCACGGGAGCUUGCUCCUGGUGGCGAGUGGCGAACGGGUGAGUAAUACAUCGGAACGUACCCUGAAGUGGGGGAUAACGUAGCGAAAGUUACGCUAAUACCGCAUAUUCUGUGAGCAGGAAAGAGGGGGAGUCGCAAGACCUCUUGCUUUAGGAGCGGCCGAUGUCGGAUUAGCUAGUUGGUGAGGUAAAGGCUCACCAAGGCGACGAUCCGUAGCGGGUCUGAGAGGAUGAUCCGCCACACUGGGACUGAGACACGGCCCAGACUCCUACGGGAGGCAGCAGUGGGGAAUUUUGGACAAUGGGCGCAAGCCUGAUCCAGCCAUGCCGCGUGAGUGAAGAAGGCCU